UGUAGGCCUUGUCUUUCAUGACUUGGAAUACUUCUUUCCAAAAGAAGGAAAAUUUCAAUCGGAUGGAGACCUCGUUCAUCAAAUCCCUCCUAAGGAGUUGGUGUCCCACCCCCAGGAGCUCUGAGACAAAAUGAGCCACAGAGACGUAGGACCGGAACGGUGUGUCCAGCAGAGCCCUGACAAAGCACCCUUUCAACUACCUUCAGCUCACAAAGGAGACUCUACGACACUUUCGCCAUUCAUAUUUGCUAUGGAAAAUACAUGCUUUCUGAGCUGCCAGUGUUACUGAAGAGAAAACACAAUCCCUUUUCUGAAAGCCAAGAACUGCUCUCUGGUCAUAAAUGAGCUCAAGAUAGCAGUGUGCUGACUACUAGCUGAACUGAGUUUCUGGAGGAGUGCUGGGGGACCUGAGGUAGUGAACUACAGUGAAAGGUGAUAAAAUUUGAAAAAAUCAGAUCAACAGAAAAUGCAAAUCAAGCACUUUUGUGUUGUUAC